GAUGAACGCUGGCGGCGUGCCUAAUACAUGCAAGUCGAGCGACCGGACGAGAAGCUUUCUCCUCUGAUGUUAGCGGCUGACGGGUGAGUAACACGUGCAUAACCAACCUCUAAUACUUGGAUAACUUCGUGAAACCGCAUCUACUACCGCAUCAUAUUUUGAACCGCAUGGUUCAAAAGUUCUAGACGGUCUUGCUGUUACUUAUAGCUGGUUCCGCGUUGCAUUAGCUAGUUGGUAAGGUAACGGCUUACCAAGGCAACGAUGCAUAGCCGACCUGAGAGGGUGAUCAGCCACACUGGAACUGAGACACGGUCCAGACUCCUACGGGAGGCAGCAGUAGGGAAUCUUCCGCAAUGGGCGAAAGCCUGACGGAGCAAAGCCGCGUGAGUAAUGAAGGUCUUCGGAUCGUAAAACCCUGUUAUUAGGGAAGAACAUAUGUGUAAGUAACUGUGGACAUCUUGACGGUACCUAAACAGAAAGCCGCGGCUAACUUCGUG
rnacentral:rRNA from 1 species